UAAGACAAACAAAAAUCAAGAUGGAUGGCAUC
rnacentral:piRNA from 1 species